CCCUUGGUGGUCUAGUUGGUUAUGGCGUUCGGCUGUAAUGGAGAAAUCUAAUUGUUACCGAAAUGUCGCUGGUUCGAUUCCGGCCCGAGGGA